UACAGAGGUCUCAAGCGUUGUUCGGAUUUACUGGGCGUAAAGGGCGCGUAGGCGGUCAGCACAAGUCAGUUGUGAAAUCUCCGGGCUUAACUCGGAAAGGUCAACUGAUACUGUGCGACUAGAGUGCGGAAGGGGCAACUGGAAUUCUCGGUGUAGCGGUGAAAUGCGUAGAUAUCUGGAGGAAUACCGGUGGCGAAGGCGGCAUCCUGGACCGACAUUGACGCUGAUGAGCGAAAGCUAGGGGAGCAAACGGG
rnacentral:rRNA from 1 species